rnacentral:rRNA from 1 species
AGCAGCCGCGGUAAUUCCAGCUCCAAUAGCGUAUAUUAAAGUUGUUGCAGUUAAAAAGCUCGUAGUUGAAUUUCGGGAUCAAUAUUUCGGUCAUGCCGUUGGUAUGCACUGUUAUCAUUGAUUUCUCACCUUCUAAAGAACCGUAAUGCCAUUAAUUUGGUGUUACGGGGAAUUAGGACUGUUACCUUGAAAAAAUUAGAGUGUUUAAAGUAGGCUCACGCUUGAAUACAUUAGCAUGGAAUAAUGAAAUAGGACAUCCGAUUCUAUUUUGUUGGUUUCUAGGAUCGAUGUAAUGAUUAAUAGGGAUAGUUGGGGGCAUUAGUAUUCAAUUGUCAGAGGUGAAAUUCUUGGAUUUAU